rnacentral:rRNA from 1 species
CACGUAGGGUGCGAGCGUUGUCCGGAAUUACUGGGCGUAAAGCGCACGUAGGCGGCUUUGUAAGUUAGAGGUGAAAGCCCGGGGCUCAACUCCGGAAUUGCCUUUAAGACUGCAUCGCUAGAAUUGUGGAGAGGUAAGUGGAAUUCCGAGUGUAGAGGUGAAAUUCGUAGAUAUUCGGAAGAACACCAGUGGCGAAGGCGACUUACUGGACACAUAUUGACGCUGAGGUGCGAAAGCGUGGGGAGCAAACAGG